UACGAACGCUGGCGGCGUGCCUAACACAUGCAAGUCGAGCGGGGACUUGGGAGCUUGCUCCUGGGUUCUAGCGGCGGACGGGUGAGUAACGCGUGAGCAACCUGCCUCUUACUGGGGGAUAACGCAUCGAAAGAUGUGCUAAUACCGCGUAAGACCACGGAGUCGCAUGGCUCAGGAGUCAAAGGAGCAAUCCGGUGAGAGAUGGGCUCGCGUCCGAUUAGCUAGUUGGUGAGAUAACGGCCCACCAAGGCGACGAUCGGUAGCCGACCUGAGAGGGUGAUCGGCCACAUUGGAACUGAGAUACGGUCCAG
rnacentral:rRNA from 1 species